CGAAAAAAAAAGAGAAGGGAGGAUUUUCAAAAUGUAUUCUAUAUUCUAGCCAUUUAGGUUGAAAAAUAGAAAUUUCAUGAUAGGAUCUUUCUAUUUCGAGGGCUGAAAAUUGUGAAUCUAUAUCCUAGGCAGUGGAUAUGGAAUUUGGAUAUAGUGAUGAACUUAAAGAAAAACUAGGCAUUUUGUUUGUUUCGCUUGUUCCAGAAAAGGUGUAGCGAAAUGAAAAUUUUGGAAUUUAUGCAUGAAUUCGUUGAGAAAAUUGGAUUAGCCAUUAGCCGAGAAGGAAAUCUAGUAGGUAUAUAAUUUUAAGUUGGCAUUACUGUUCGAGAUGGG